UUGUGCCAGCAGCCGCGGUAAUUCCAGCUCCAAUAGCGUAUAUUAAAGUUGUUGCGGUUAAAAAGCUCGUAGUUGGAUCUCGGCGGGCAGGGGGUGGUUCGCUCUUCAGCGCUACUGCCCCGCUUUGCCCGUGUGAUUGGCGGAGGUUUCGGGGUGCUCUUCGUUGAGUGACUCGGAGCGCCGUCAGGUUUACUUUGAAAAAAUUAGAGUGCUCAAAGCAGGCUUUUCACGCUUGAAUAUUCGUGCAUGGAAUAAUGGAAUAGGAACUCGUUUCUAUUUUGUUGGUUUUCGGAAAUCGAGUUAAUGAUUAACAGGGACAAUUGGGGGCAUUAGUAUUCAGACGACAGAGGUGAAAUUCUUGGACCGUCUGAAGACUGACUACUGCGAAAGCAUUUGCCAAGAGUGUUUUCAUUAAUCAAGAACGAAAGUUAGAGGUUCGAAGGCGAUCAGAUACCGCCCUAGUUCUAACCAUAAACGAUGCCAGCUAGCGAUCUGCCGAGUUUUUUUUGUAGGCUCCGCAGGAAGCUUUCGGGAAACCAAAGCUUUUGGGUUCCGGGGGAAGUAUGGUUGCAAAGCUGAAACUUAAAGGAAUUGACGGAAGGGCACCACCAGGAGUGGAGCCUGCGGCUUAAUUUGACUCAACACGGGAAAUCUCACCAGGCCCGGACACUGGAAGGAUUGACAGAUUGAGAGCUCUUUCUCGAUUCGGUGGGUGGUGGUGCAUGGCCGUUCUUAGUUGGUGGAGUGAUUUGUCUGGUUAAUUCCGUUAACGAACGAGACCGUCGCCUGCUAAAUAGUUACGCGAAUGACCUCGGUCAUUGGUGGGCAACUUCUUAGAGGGACUUUCAGUGACUAACUGAAGGAAGUUGGCGGCAAUAACAGGUCUGUG
rnacentral:rRNA from 1 species